rnacentral:tRNA from 1 species
GGACUUAUAGCUCAGUUGGUUAGAGCACCUGACUCAUAAUCAGGGGGUCCAUGGUUCGAGCCCAUGUUGGUCCA